rnacentral:rRNA from 1 species
UUAUGUGUCUAUGAUGGAUUCACUAAGGCAGAAGAGGUCCCCAUGCUUUACAUGCCAGUAUGGCUAUAGAUCCAUAAGCUCCCUGAGGGUUUCUGCAGGAGGAACAUAGUGGAAUCGCUGCUGAAAAAGUCCGGGGAGAUCUUGGAGAUGAGGUUAAACGGCAACACGCGGGGUGAUUAUGUGAGGGUUAGGGUUCGUCAUGACAUCCGUCGACCUCUCACAAAAUUCGUUAGUAUUGUUAGAGGUGAGGCAAUGCAAGUCUACUUGGUCCGGUAUGAAAAGCUUGCUCACUUUUGCAGUGUUUGCGGUAUGAUUGGGCAUGACUGCAAAGAAUGUAGCUCUGGGGUCCAUGAGGCAAAGGAUGUGAAGUUUGGGAGCUGGUUAUACGCAGAUGGUCCGAACAAGCCAAGAGCUGAUGAGUUCGACAGGAGCAACGACAAGCAAAGUCAAAAGCAUCGUACACCAACCAAAGAAAAGGACGCCAAGAAAGUCAUCGACCCGGACUUGGCUGAUACUGCGUCCAGCCCAUCUAAAAGUGGCACAAAGGAGAUGCACGUCGACCCUCCAGCUCGUAAGAGGCUGGCCAUGGACAGCUCCGGGCUGGAGCUGCCCAACAAACCGAUAGAUACAUUAGCUCUUACUCAAGGGCUCGGUGAAGAUGGUGAUGCUACCUCGUCACCAUGCAAUAGUUCAAACAGUAAAAAGGCAAGGAUAGACUCCCAAGGUUUUUCGGAUGAGAAGUCGGCGGCCUCCUUCGAGGAGGACCGCCAGGUACAAUGA